rnacentral:rRNA from 1 species
AGAGUUUGAUCCUGGCUCAGGACGAACGCUGGCGGCGUGCCUAAUACAUGCAAGUCGAACGCAUUUUCUUUCAUCGUAGCUUGCUACACCGAAAGAAAAUGAGUGGCGAACGGGUGAGUAACACGUGGGUAACCUGCCCAUCAGCGGGGGAUAACACUUGGAAACAGGUGCUAAUACCGCAUAAUUCCAUUUACCGCAUGGUAGAUGGGUGAAAGGCGCUUUUGCGUCACUGAUGGAUGGACCCGCGGUGCAUUAGCUAGUUGGUGGGGUAACGGCCUACCAAGGCUGCGAUGCAUAGCCGACCUGAGAGGGUGAUCGGCCACACUGGGACUGAGACACGGCCCAGACUCCUACGGGAGGCAGCAGUAGGGAAUCUUCGGCAAUGGACGCAAGUCUGACCGAGCAACGCCGCGUGAGUGAAGAAGGUUUUCGGAUCGUAAAACUCUGUUGUUAGAGAAGAACAAGGAUGAGAGUGGAAAGUUCAUCCCUUGACGGUAUCUAACCAGAA